rfam:Aquimarina atlantica strain 22II-S11-z7 contig4, whole genome shotgun sequence.
AAAGGGGUAACCGAAAACCUUAUCUAUAGAGUAGGUA